rnacentral:lncRNA from 1 species
CAUCAAGAUUUUUUCUAAAAUGGUGAAGUAAUAUAGCUAUUAGAAAGUUUAGUGCCCAAUGACUCGCUUUAUCAUUGUUUAAAAAUCAGAAACAUUCCUUUACUGGAUUGAGACCUCCCUUUAAACCAUUCUUAAAGCUCUUAAUUGUAAGCCAAUAUCAAUUUCAUUGAGAAAUGUUUCUUUCAAAAAAACACCAAGUCAGCCCA